GGAUGAACGCUAGCUACAGGCUUAACACAUGCAAGUCGAGGGGCAGCAUGGUCUUAGCUUGCUAAGGCCGAUGGCGACCGGCGCACGGGUGAGUAACACGUAUCCAACCUGCCGUCUACUCUUGGACAGCCUUCUGAAAGGAAGAUUAAUACAAGAUGGCAUCAUGAGUCCACAUGUUCACAUGAUUAAAGGUAUUCCGGUAGACGAUGGGGAUGCGUUCCAUUAGAUAGUAGGCGGGGUAACGGCCCACCUAGUCUUCGAUGGAUAGGGGUUCUGAGAGGAAGGUCCCCCACAUUGGAACUGAGACACGGUCCAAACUCCUACGGGAGGCAGCAGUGAGGAAUAUUGGUCAAUGGGCGAGAGCCUGAACCAGCCAAGUAGCGUGAAGGAUGACUGCCCUAUGGGUUGUAAACUUCUUUUAUAAAGGAAUAAAGUCGGGUAUGGAUACCCGUUUGCAUGUACUUUAUGAAUAAGGAUCGGCUAACUCCGUGCCAGCAGCCGCGGUAAUACGGAGGAUCCGAGCGUUAUCCGGAUUUAUUGGGUUUAAAGGGAGCGUAGAUGGAUGUUUAAGUCAGUUGUGAAAGUUUGCGGCUCAACCGUAAAAUUGCAGUUGAUACUGGAUAUCUUGAGUGCAGUUGAGGCAGGCGGAAUUCGUGGUGUAGCGGUGAAAUGCUUAGAUAUCACGAAGAACUCCGAUUGCGAAGGCAGCCUGCCAAGCUGCAACUGACAUUGAGGCUCGAAAGUGUGGGUAUCAAACGGGAUUAGAUACCCUGGUAGUCCACACGGUAAACGAUGAAUACUCGCUGUUUGCGAUAUACAGCAAGCGGCCAAGCGAAAGCGUUAAGUAUUCCACCUGGGGAGUACGCCGGCAACGGUGAAACUCAAAGGAAUUGACGGGGGCCCGCACAAGCGGAGGAACAUGUGGUUUAAUUCGAUGAUACGCGAGGAACCUUACCCGGGCUUAAAUUGCAGAUGAAUUACGGUGAAAGCCGUAAGCCGCAAGGCAUCUGUGAAGGUGCUGCAUGGUUGUCGUCAGCUCGUGCCGUGAGGUGUCGGCUUAAGUGCCAUAACGAGCGCAACCCUUGUUGUCAGUUACUAACAGGUUCCGCUGAGGACUCUGACAAGACUGCCAUCGUAAGAUGUGAGGAAGGUGGGGAUGACGUCAAAUCAGCACGGCCCUUACGUCCGGGGCUACACACGUGUUACAAUGGGGGGUACAGAGGGCCGCUACCACGCGAGUGGAUGCCAAUCCCCAAAACCUCUCUCAGUUCGGACUGGGGUCUGCAACCCGACUCCACGAAGCUGGAUUCGCUAGUAAUCGCGCAUCAGCCACGGCGCGGUGAAUACGUUCCCGGGCCUUGUACACACCGCCCGUCAAGCCAUGGGAGCCGGGGGUACCUGAAGUGCGUAACCGCGAGGAGCGCCCUAGGGUAAAACUGG
rnacentral:rRNA from 1 species